CCGGCAUUUACACAGGUCCUCCCCAGGCUGUGGGGCCAGGACCUACUAGCUGGUACUGAGAGAAAAUUCACAGUUGCAUCCUUCCCCUGGGACUGUGCCAGUGGCAGUGGUCAGCUAAUGGGACAGAG
rnacentral:snoRNA from 1 species